GCAUCCUAGUACUACU
rnacentral:sRNA from 1 species